rnacentral:lncRNA from 10 species
UCUGGGAAGACUUCUCUGACUUCACGGCAACGCGGAGAAUGUGUCGGAACGGGGAAGAAAAUGGGGCUGAUGGCCCCAGGACUCCUGGAAGAUGAUAUGUGGCAAUAACUGUCACCCAGAGCCACCAAAGCACUUCACCUGCCCUGCCUUGUAGCCUGCCCUGCCUUGUAGCGCUUCUGCCGGGUGUCACUGCUAUUUGUAUGUUAAUUAGACUGGGGGUUCCCCGAGAGUGGCUUGUAUCUCCGUGACCCCUGUGUCUCUGCCGG